rnacentral:rRNA from 1 species
CCUACGGGUGGCUGCAGUAAGGAAUAUUGGUCAAUGGGCGGAAGCCUGAACCAGCCAUGCCGCGUGCGGGAAGAAGGCCCUCUGGGUUGUAAACCGCUUUUGUCAGGGAAGAAUGGAGAGGAUUCAUCCUCUUAGGGACGGUACCUGAAGAAUAAGCACCGGCUAACUCCGUGCCAGCAGCCGCGGUAAUACGGAGGGUGCAAGCGUUAUCCGGAAUCACUGGGUUUAAAGGGUACGUAGGCGGCCUGAUAAGUCAGGUGUGAAAUACCGCAGCC